CACACCGCCCGUCACACCACGAAAGCCGGCUGUACCAGAAGUCGCUGCGCGAACCGCAAGGACGCAGGCGCCGAAGGUAUGGUCGGUGAUUGGGGUG
rnacentral:rRNA from 1 species